rnacentral:rRNA from 1 species
GUACACGCUGUGACUAGCAUAUCAAUAAGCGGAGGAAAAGAAACUAACAAGGAUUCCCCUAGUAACGGCGAGUGAAGCGGGAAGAGCUCAAAUUUGAAGUCUUAAAGGGUUUCCCUUUACGAAUUGUAGUUUAAAGAAGUGUUUUCUGUUGAGGUUUUGGUAAAAGUUCUUUGGAAUAGGGACAUCAUAGAGGGUGAGAAUCCCGUAUUUGACCUUUACUUUCAACUUUGUGAUACACUUUCAAAGAGUCGGAUUGUUUGGGAAUGCAGUCCAAAAUGGGUGGUAAAUUUCAUCUAAAGCUAAAUAUUGGCGAGAGACCGAUAGCGAACAAGUACCGUGAGGGAAAGAUGAAAAGAACUUUGAAAAGAGAGUUAAACAGGUACGUGAAAUUGUCCAAAAGGGAAGCGUUUGACACCAGUGUUGUUUUUCUGAAAAUCAAUUAAAGAACUGUUUAUGCUAAGUUGUUUAGACUUUAUCAGCUAACUGUUUAGUUUUGAGCUUUUCUUUAAUGCACUUUUCAGUUAACAAGUCAACAUCAAUUUCUUUUGCUGUAAAAAAGCUUGAGGAAGGUGGCUUGAGAUUCGUCUUAAGUGUUUAUAGCCUCUUGCCUAUGCAGUCGGAGAGAUUGAGGUCUGCAGCGUAGAUCCUUCGGGGCUAAAUGCAUUUGUGCUAAGUUAUAGCAUUUUAUAGACAACUUGUUGACUAUGAUUUGUCUUGUAGCUUACUCGCUUAUGUUAUUUUUACCUACGCUUAGGAUGUUGACGCGCGUGUGUGCGU